UCAGAACGAACGCUGGCGGCAGGCUUAACACAUGCAAGUCGAGCGCCCCGCAAGGGGAGCGGCAGACGGGUGAGUAACGCGUGGGAAUCUACCCUUUUNUACGGAAUAACGCAGGGAAACNUGUGCUAAUACCGUAUNAGCCCUUCGGGGGAAAGAUUUAUCGGGAAAGGAUGAGCCCGCGUUGGAUUAGCUAGUUGGUGGGGUAAAGGCCUACCAAGGCGACGAUCCAUAGCUGGUCUGAGAGGAUGAUCAGCCACAUUGGGACUGAGACACGGCCCAAACUCCUACGGGAGGCAGCAGUGGGGAAUAUUGGACAAUGGGCGCAAGCCUGAUCCAGCCAUGCCGCGUGAGUGAUGAAGGCCCUAGGGUUGUAAAGCUCUUUCACCGGUGAAGAUAA
rnacentral:rRNA from 1 species